AGUGAUAUGCUUGUCUCAAGGGCUAAGCCAUGCAUGUCUAAGUAGAAGCCCGCCUCCGGCGGGCGAGACCGCGAAUGGCUCCGUACAACAGUCCCAGUUUACUGGAUGGUCGUGGCCUAGUCGGAUAACUGUGGUAAUUCUAGAGCUAAUACGUGCCCCCGAGCUCCGACUCCCUCCGUCGUUUGCUUCGCGGCGGGCGGCGGUUUUGUGGGGAAGGAGCGCUUUUAUUAGCUCAAAGCCGACCGGGCUCAGCGCGUGCAUCAAGCCCCCCUCGGGCCCCCGUGCUUCGGCGCGUGGUGGUUCGUGCGGGGGUGCGCGUGCGGCCCGCCUCUCGGUGAAACGGAAGAACUGGCCGAUCGCGCGGCGUCACCAUGCGCCCGCGACGCGUCCUUCAAGCGUCUGCCUCAUCAGCUUUCGACGGUAGGUUAGACGCCUACCAUGGCGGCAACGGGUAACGGGGAAUCGGGGUUCGGUUCCGGAGAGGGAGCCUGAGAAACGGCUACCACAUCCAAGGAAGGCAGCAGGCGCGCAAUUUACCCCCUCCCGGCACGGGGAGGUAGUGACGAGGCGUACCGCCGCGGGCCCCCGCGCGGGGCUGCGUGGGCGGAAUGAGCACAUUUUAAGUCCUUUAGCGAGGACCCAUUGGAGGGCAAGUCUGGUGCCAGCAGCCGCGGGAACUCCAGCUCCGAUAGCGUAUGUUAACGCUGCUGCGGUUAAAGAGCUCGUCGCCGGACAUCGGCCUCGGAGGGGCGGUUCGCCGGAGGGCGACACUUCCCCGUUCCGGGCGCAGUGGCGCGGCCGCGUCGGGUGGGGUCCCGGGCCCCGGUGUCAUGCCUUCCCGAUCGGGUUUCGUCCUGGCUCCGUUCUCUCGUCCGGCCCCUCCGGUUGCUUGGUCGGGCCGCGGUGCGGGUGCUUGGUCGGUGGGUUGGAGUUGGGGCAACCCUUCUCUCGGCCCCCUUCCUCCCCGCCCGCGGUCCAAUGCCGGGCUCCGGUUGUGGGUUCGGUUCGGGGUUCGGGCCGGCGGGCUCGGGGUUGGCCUCUGCCCGGGUGCUUCCCGCGGUCCCCUUCGAUUUCCGCGCGGCGCCGGCGCCGGUUUCCUUGAGAAAAUUGGAGUGCUCAGAGCAGGCUGCUCAGGCUCGCACAGGAGUGCAUGGAACUAACCCAACGGUCCCGGCCCGUUCUUUGCAGUCGGCUUCGGGGGCCGGGUCCAGGGUCGAUGGGGACGGCCGGGGGCAUUGGUACCGCGACGUUAGAGGUGAAAUUCAGGGAUCGUCGCGUGACCGACGACUGCGAAAGCAUUUGCCCAGAACGUUCCCGUCGGCCGAGAACGAAAGUCGGAGGCUCGAAGGCGAUCAGAUACCGCCCUAGUUCUAACCUUAAACGAUGCCGACCGGCGAUCCGCCGCAGGAGGCGCGCGUUGGCGCCUCGGCGGGCAGCCCGCCCGGGAAACCCGAGUGUUCGGGCUCCGGGGGGAGUAUGGUCGCAAGGCCGAAACUUAAAGGAAUUGACGGAAGGGCACCACCAGGAGUGGAGCCUGCGGCCUAAUUUGACUCAACACGGGGAACCUCACCAGGUCCGGACCCCGGCAAGAUUGACAGGUUCACACGACACAGCCCUUUCUCGAUCCGGUGGGGGGUGGUGCAUGGCCGUUCGUGGUUCGUGGAGCGAUCUGUCUGGUUCAUUCCGGUAACGGGCGAGGCCCCGGCCGGCUUACUGGAGCGGGGCUCCCAGACGGGCGCCCGACGGCUCCUCUUAGCGGGACGGGCGGCGGGAAGCCGCACGAAGUCGGGGCAAGAACAGGUCCGUGAUGCCCUUAGAAGUCCUGGGCCGCACGCGCGCUACACUGACGGAGGCAGCGCGCCCCCUCGGCCCAGUCCGAGAGGACUCGGGAACCGCUCAACCUCCGUUCGUGCUGGGGACUGGGGACUGCAACUGUCCCCACGAACGAGGAAUUCCUCGUAGGCGCGAGUCAUCAGCUCGCGUCGAUUACGUCCCUGUCCUUUGUACACACCGCCCGUCGCUACAUCCGAUCGAGCGAUCGAGCGAGGUUUUCGGACCGGGCCCGGCGCGACGGCAUUUAUUGCGGCGCGUCGGUGUUUCCCAGGGAAGUUGCCCGAGCUGGAUGGCUCAGAGGAGGUAUAAGU
rnacentral:rRNA from 1 species